GGAUCCGUAGCUCAAUGGUAGAGCAGUUGCCUCUUAAGCAAUUGGUUGAGCGUUCGAAUCGCUCCGGAUCCA
rnacentral:tRNA from 1 species